GUACGGCGGCUCAAUGACUUUGUAUCACUGUGGUUGACUUUUGGUGGAGGAACCAGACUGGAUGUUGGAAGUGAUGUCCGUCCCACCCUGACGGUGCUGCCCCCCUCCAGAGAAGAGCUGCAGCAGGGGAAGGCCACGCUCAUGUGCCUGGCCAACAAGGGCUUCCCCUCAGACUGGAGUCUGGCCUGGAAGGUGGACGGCAGCAGCAGCAGCAGCAGCUGGGAGGAGAGCAGGAGCCCCGGGGUGCUGGAGAAGGACGCCCACUACAGCUGGAGCAGCACCCUGAGGCUCUCUGCAGAUCAGUGGAGGAAGGUGCGCUCUGUGACCUGUGAGGCCACCCAGGGCUCCCAGACUCCGCUCUCAGAGACACUGAGGAGAGACCAGUGUUCCCAGUCCUGAGCUGACUCACUGGGACUCUGCUUUCUCUCUCACACUGCUCUCAGUCUGCUCUCUGGCUCUCAGGACAUGUUU